AUUGAACGCUGGCGGCAUGCUUUACACAUGCAAGUCGAACGGCAGCGCGGGCUUCGGCCUGGCGGCGAGUGGCGAACGGGUGAGUAAUGCAUCGGAACGUGCCCAGUAGUGGGGGAUAGCCCGGCGAAAGCCGGAUUAAUACCGCAUACGACCUGAGGGUGAAAGCGGGGGACCGAAAGGCCUCGCGCUAUUGGCGCGGCCGAUGUCGGAUUAGCUAGUUGGUGGGGUAAAGGCUUACCAAGGCGACGAUCCGUAGCUGGUCUGAGAGGACGACCAGCCACACUGGGACUGAGACACGGCCCAGACUCCUACGGGAGGCAGCAGUGGGGAAUUUUGGACAAAGGGGGCAACCCUGAUCCAGCCAUGCCGCGUGCGGGAAGAAGGCCUUCGGGUUGUAAACCGCUUUUGUUCGGGAAGAAAUCCUCUGGGCUAAUACCCCGGGGGGAUGACGGUACCGGAAGAAUAAGCACCGGCUAACUACGUG
rnacentral:rRNA from 1 species